rnacentral:lncRNA from 1 species
UAGUAAAGCCCUCAGAGACCCUCUCCUUCACCUGUGCCGCCUCUGGAUUUCCGAUCAUAACCAGUACUUCCUCCUGGAGCUGGAUCUGCCAGCCCCCAGGGAAGGAGCUGAAGUGGGUCAGGUGUGUAGGUCAUGAGGAAGCACACAGUACCACCCGCUUCUCAAGAGUCCAGUCACCACCUCCAGAUACACAUUCAGAAAGCAGUUUUUCCUACAGCUGAGCUACAUGUGCAAUGAGUACACCACCAUGGAUUUUUAUGCAAAAGACACA